CACAUUCCUUGACUCGUGGCGCUGCAUCAUUCAAUCUGAUUCUGUCUCCGUCACCUCUCCUUCUCUGACUCACUUGCCUUUCUCACUUAUAAGGACCCUUGUGAUACGUUGCACCCUCCUGGGAAGUCCAGAAUGAUCUCCCCAUCUCAAGAUCGGUAAUUUAAUGACAUCUGCAAAUUCCCUUUGACACACAAGGAGGAAUCUGGUGAGAUUCUGGGUAUGAUACAUCCCGGGGCAAAAUUCCUCUCCAUCGGUGGACCUGUGGAACUAGAAUUCUACACCUUAGUGUCAUCAUCUGUAGAAGAGGCUUAUUAAUUUCUCUACCUCUCCAUGUCAUCAUCUGUAGAAAAGAGUAUCUCUGUCUCAUGGAAGAUGGCGGAAGAGGGAUGGUUCUAGGAAAUUCACGAACGCCUAGGAAGAUGUGGCUCCUAAAAAGGUGCUUAUUUGCGGGAUGAAAUACGGCUCUUCCUGUGCGCAAACCCAGGCAAUUCCAUGGGGCCAUAAAGGUGCGGGC
rnacentral:lncRNA from 1 species